UCGGCGAGCGGCGGACGGCUGAGUAACGCGUAGGAAUUUGCCCCAAAGUGAGGAAUAACUGCCCGAAAGGGUAGCUAAUGCCGCAUAUGGUCUUCGAAUUAAAGCCUUCGGGCGCUUUGGAGAAGCCUGCGUUGGAUUAGGUAGUUGGUAGGGUAAUGGCCUACCAAGCCGACGAUCCAUAGCUGGUCUGAGAGGAUGAUCAGCCAGACUGGAACUGAGACACGGUCCAG
rnacentral:rRNA from 1 species